UCCUGGUUAGCUCAAUUGGUACAGCGCUCCACUGGAAACGGAGAGGUUCCUUGUUCGAUUUCAGGACCAGACG
rnacentral:tRNA from 1 species